rnacentral:rRNA from 1 species
UCUGGUGCUCGAUGCUUAAGUGGAACCACUCCAAUCCAUCCCGAACUUGGCUGUGAAACGCUUAAGAAGUUCACCGACUUGUCGGAAGUCUGACAGGAAAAACGAACUUAGUGCCAGG